rnacentral:lncRNA from 1 species
CACAUUGUGGGGCCUGAGAGGGAAGAUGAGGCGAGAGAUGCCCAGACCAGUGGGAGACGCCAGGACUUCGGAAGCUCUUCUGCGCCACGGUGGGUGGUGAGGGCGGCUGGGAAAGUGAGCUCCAGGGCCCUGGGAGCAGCCUGCUCGUGGGUGCGGAAGGAAAAAGGCACAGGGGCUUGGUGUGGGCGGCUUUUGGCUGGGAGAAGUUUGCACGUAGGGAGAAUAGUAGCCAGUGUUUGCAGAGCACUUACUAUGCAGGAAGGCCUGUCCUAAGCAUUCUAAGUGUAUUACAUCAUGAACAAGUGUCUGUGAUUAGCCCCGUCUUGCAGAGAAGGAAACAGAAGUACAAACAGAAAAUGUAACUAAGCAUGCACUUAAUAAAAAGGCACCAGGUUUUGAACCCAAUCAAUCUGGCUCAAGAAUCUGCGCCCAGCCACUGGCUCCUGUUCUUAGAGAUGAACAUGGUGUCCUGGAGCCUGCUCCACAUUGUGACUUGAUCAUGAGUGUACGUGCUUCCUGUCCCCAGAGGACAGAUUUCCAGUGCAAUCAUAGAAAGUGCCUGUGUGGGCUUCAGGAGAUGUGUCUGCCUUGGGGAGAAUUUUCCUUUUCAGCUAGAGCCAGGCCCAGGAUGUUGACGUCAGUGAGACGCUGGUGACGUUCUCUGAUCCAGCGGCUGAUAAGAAAAGUUUCUCCAAGACAGCUCAGUCUUGAAGUCCCACUGGCUUCACCUACAGAUGCCAACUUUGAGGCCAGUUUACUGUGAGGCCAGCUGGACUGAUUGCCAUGGCAACAGGAAUUGGACCCAAGUCACCGGAGGAUGGAGAGGGAAGACACAGCGGUGGCUUCCCCAGGUCUUGGACCACAAGGCACAGCCGUGGCCUCCAGAAAGCCUGAAGGAACCCGUUAGUGGGUCCUGCACUCCGACACAGCUCACGCAAUCAGCCUCUGGUCCUCGCCCUCCUCCCAUUGGUGUCGUUGUACUCUCUGACAGUGACAUUGAGCAACUGGAGUGCAGAGGACUUGCUUCAGAGAGAGCCCCUUUGUAACGCACAUUGCAUGGGCCGUGCCCCAUGCCCACUCGGCCACAAACUCCCCUCAGCUGCCCAGCCCCGUGGAGCCAGGCGUGGGCUGAAGUGGAGCCAAUGAAAUGCUUGGAAUGCCAGCCGCAGCGACAGGCCAGCACUCAUGGCUCUCGGGAGUUCUGACCGAAGCAGCACUGAGGACCGCUUCAGAGCAGAAGUCUACACCAUUUUCUCCAGUUUUAGGCAGAAGUAAAGAAUGUCUCUGCCUUCUCCCAACCAGCAAUUGAUUCAGAGUCCUGAGCUUUUAAAUUAAAAGGACCCCUCUGUUGCUUUGUGCAGUAGCCAGCCUAUUCAUUUGAGUUCAGGUGAAAUCAUUUUCAAGUAAACUCUUCCUAUCCAGCUUUGCUUUUAGUUAUGCUGACAUAAAAACAAUAAAAAUUGUCCUUCUCAGUGUUCA